CACGGAACUGGGCAGUGGACACCACCCUCCCUCGCAGGCUUCCAAAGUAAUUUGAAGGCUUUCCCUGACUUAAAGUGGAUGCUGCUUUGGAAAGCACCGGAAAAAUGGAUCCUGUCUUUCUCAGCCAAGGACUGGUCUCUUUUCUCCAGUAUGUUCCUAACAGAGUGGGAGUCUGGCUGUUCCACCAGUACAGGUAAUGCGGUAAAGAUAGGACCAUGUGGACGAAGAGGUAUUGCCUUCUCUAUUUACAGAUGACAAAGACCCAGGCCUAACCUCAACUGCACCUUCUGUCUCUGGGAAGUCACUUAUGGAGUAGACCUAUAAUUAGGAUUUGGUACCUGAAACAUAAUUCUCAGGAUGAUGAAUCUCUAAAUUAUGUCCCCAGAGACAUACCUGAGACAAAACCCUAAGGGCUGUUGGCCGUAAGAAGGUGUGUGUGGUAUUCUACAUUCAGUGGGGAUUUAUAAAUGAGGAUGAUAUCACUCA
rnacentral:antisense_RNA from 1 species